UCCCGUGAGUGUUCCCAGCUG
rnacentral:miRNA from 1 species